GGGCGUUUGGUUUAGUGGUAUAAUUCUCGCUUUUGGGUGCGAGAGGUCACGAGUUCGAUUCUCGAAACGCCCC
rfam:Brassica oleracea var. oleracea cultivar TO1000 chromosome C7, whole genome shotgun sequence